UCGCGGCCCAUUAGCUAGUUGGCGGGGUAACGGCUCACCAAGGCAACGACGGGUAGCCGGCCUGAGAGGGCGACCGGCCACACUGGGACUGAGACACGGCCCAGACUCCUACGGGAGGCAGCAGUAGGGAAUAUUGGGCAAUGGGCGCAAGCCUGACCCAGCGACGCCGCGUGAGGGAUGAAGGUCUUCGGAUUAUAAACCUCUUUCAGCAGGGAAUAAGCGAAAGUGAAGGUACCUGCAGAAGAAGCACCGGCUAACUAUGUGCCAGCAGCCGCGGUAAUACAUAGGGUGCAAGCGUUGUCCGGAAUUAUUGGGCGUAAAGAGCUCGUAGGUGGUCGAUCACGUCGGAUGUGAAAAUCUGAGGCUUAACCUCAGACCUGCAUUCGAUACGGGUUGACUAGAGUGUGGUAGGGGAGGCUGGAAUUCCUGGUGUAGCGGUGGAAUGCGCAGAUAUCAGGAGGAACACCGAUGGCGAAGGCAGGUCUCUGGGCCAUUACUGACACUGAGGAGCGAAAGCGUGGGGAGCGAACAGGAUU
rnacentral:rRNA from 1 species